GAUGAACGCUGGCGGCGUGCCUAAUACAUGCAAGUCGAGCGAACGGACGAGAAGCUUGCUUCUCUGAUGUUAGCGGCGGACGGGUGAGUAACACGUGGAUAACCUACCUAUAAGACUGGGAUAACUUCGGGAAACCGGAGCUAAUACCGGAUAAUAUUUUGAACCGCAUGGUUCAAAAGUGAAAGACGGUCUUGCUGUCACUUAUAGAUGGAUCCGCGCUGCAUUAGCUAGUUGGUAAGGUAACGGCUUACCAAGGCAACGAUGCAUAGCCGAUCUGAGAGGGUGAUCGGCCACACUGGAACUGAGACACGGUCCAGACUCCUACGGGAGGCAGCAGUAGGGAAUCUUCCGCAAUGGGCGAAAGCCUGGCGGAGCAACGCCGCGUGAGUGAUGAAGGUCUUCGGAUCGUAAAACUCUGUUAUUAGGGAAGAACAUAUGUGUAAGUAACUGUGCACAUCUUGACGGUACCUAAUCAGAAAGCCACGGCUAACUACGUG
rnacentral:rRNA from 1 species